rnacentral:misc_RNA from 1 species
AUGUACCAGAUGGGACUCUGGUACAUCAAUUAAUCAAUUCAAAUUAAAAGCAAAAGUUGGUCAAUAUGUCUAAUUAAACUUCUAUAUGAAACUAGAAAAUCUCUCCUGCCGAGACAUUUUGAAUGGGUGCCUUGUGCUCGUCGAUGCCGGCGUUGCUUCGAACACAGAGACAUUUCCUUUAAGACGAAGGACAGAGACCCUGAGAGUUGACCAAUUUCAGAGAGAGAGAGA